GAACUUGGGUUUGAUGGACGUAAAGAGAGAGAAUUUCUUAAGUAACCAGCCAUGUACAUAUAAGAAUGAAAAGAACUGAUGACGAUCGCAGCUCGAUGCGUUGUGUAGAUAUGAAUAUGUAUAUUUUCUGCAAAGAUAAGUGUUAAUAUUGAGAAAAUUUAUUAUCGACAGAACGAUUGUUUUAAUGUAUGUUUUAUUAAAUACUUUUUAACUGUUCAAACAUUUCAGGUUGUCGAACAGUCUAAUGUACUACGGCAUAUAUUUGAUGUCGUCUGCGCUGGCAGGAGAUCAUUAUUUGAAUUUCUUUUUGGUAUCCCUUACAGAAGUCGUCGCAAAUAUAGUGAUGGCCAUGCUGCUUCUCAAGCUAGAAAGACGUUCAACAGUGGCAUUAUUUCAGGGUUUAGCUGGUGUGUCUCUUCUUUGUGCAGUCCUGGUUAACAACUUUGCAGG